rnacentral:rRNA from 1 species
CAAUCAUAUCAUGUUGAAACACCAGUCCUCUUGUACAAUCACUGAAGUUAAGCAACGUCAAGCCUGGUCAGUACAUAGAUGGGUGACCACUUGGGAAUACCCGGUAG